AUGAACACCAUGUUCAGACAUAAAGGUGUCCAUAUGUGCUCUUGGCACCAGGAUACCUUAGGCCGCAGCUCGAUGAUCGACUUUGUUGUUGUUUCAUCUGACCUGCGGCCGCUUGUCUUGGACACUCGGGUGAAGUUAGGGGUGGAGCUGUCAACUGACCACUACCUGGUGGUGAGUUUGCUCAGAUGGUGGGGGAGGAUGCUGGUCAGACCAGGCAGGCCCAAACGUAUCGCGAGGGUCAGCUGGGAACGUCUGGCAGAGUCUCCUGUCAGAAGGAGCUUCAAUUCUCACCUCCGAUGGAACUUCCAAAAUGUUCCAGGGGAGGCGGGGGACAUUGAGCCUGAAUGGACCCUGUUCCGUGCCUCCAUUGUUGAGGCGGCCGACCGGAGCUGUGGUCGCAGGAUCGUCGAUGCCUGUUGUGGUGGCCACCCCCGAACCCACUGGUGGACACCGGCGGUUAGGGAUGCUGUCAAGCUGAAGAAAGAGUCCUAUCAGGUCUUUUUGGCCUGUGGGACUCCAGAGGCAGCUGACAGGUACUGGCAGUCCAAGCAGAAUGCGGCUCGGGUGGUCGCCAAGGCAAACAACCCGGGCAUGGGAGGAGUUCGGAGAGACCAUGGAGCAAGACUUCCGUACGGCUUCGAAGAGAUUCUGGUCCACCAUCCAGCACCUCAGGGGGGAAAGCAGUGCGCUACCAACACUAUCUAUAGUGGGGACGGUGUGCUGCUGACCUUUACUCAGGACGUUGUGAAUCGGUGGGCAGAAUACUUCGAAGACCUCCUCAAUCCCACCGACACGUCUUCCAGUGAGGAAGCAGAAUCUGGGGACUUUGAGUUGGCCUCUCAAAUCUCUGGUGCUGAGGUCACUGAGGUGGUUAAAAAGCUCCUCUGUGGCAAGGCUCCAGGGGUGGAUGAGAUCCGCCUGGAGUUCCUUAAGGCUCUGGAUGUUGUGGGGCUGUGUUGGCUGACAGGGCUCUGCAAUAUCGCGUGGACAACGGGGGCAGUCCCACUGGAUUGGCAGACUGGGGUGGUGGUUCCCUUAUUUCAAAACGGGGACCACAGGGUGUGUUCCAACUACAGGGGGAUCACACUCCUGAGCCUUCCUGGUAAGGUCUGUUCAGGGGUUCUGGAGAGGAGGGUCCGUAUGAUUGUUGAUCCUCAGAUUCUGGAGGAGCAAUGUGGUUUUUGUCCUGGCUGUGGAACACUGGACCAGCUCUAUACCCUUAGGGGGAUCCUGGAGGGUGCAUGGGAAUUUGCCCAACCAGUCUACUUGUGUUUCGUGGAUUUGGAGAAGGUAUUUGACCGCGUCCCUCGGGGGGCCCUGUGGGGGUACUCCAGGUGUGUGGGGUACCAGGCCCUCUGGUAA
rnacentral:lncRNA from 1 species